rnacentral:rRNA from 1 species
UCUUGGUCAUUUAGAGGAAGUAAAAGUCAUAACAAGGUUUCCGUAGGCGAACCUGCGGAAGGAUCAUUAAUAGUGCCCUCUGAUGCAAAUCAUUGGGUUAGAUCUGCUCUCUUCGCAAGAAGAGGGUUUCCAUACACACCGUGAACUGUGGCUUCGGCCAUCACAAACUGUUAGUAAUGAAUGUAAUAUCAUAACAAAAACAAAACUUUUAACAACGGAUCUCUUGGCUCUCGCAUCGAUGAAGAACGCAGCGAAAUGCGAUAAGUAAUGUGAAUUGCAGAAUUCAGUGAAUCAUCGAAUCUUUGAACGCACCUUGCGCCCUUUGGUAUUCCGAAGGGCAUGCCUGUUUGAGUGUCAUGAAACCUCACCCCACUUGGGUUUUUGCCUGAGCGGUGGUGUAUUGGGUGUUGCCUUGCUAAAGGCUCGCCUUAAAGACAUAAGCACCUUGGAUGUAAUACGUUUCAUCCUUCUGGGUGGCUGAUAACCCCACAUAUUCAUGAUCUGGCCUCAAAUCAGGUAGGGCUACCCGCUGAACUUAAGCAUAUCAAUAAGCGGAGGAAAUGUCUCCG